CACUUCCACACAGUCUGUAAUUCUCACUGCGUGGUGCAGAGCUUCAGAAGCAAGAUGAUUCUAAGUUACUGUAUAUUGAUUGCGUUAAUUCAGUAUACUCGUGGACAGUCAUUGACCUCCUCAGAGCCGGUGGUGGAGAAACCCGGGGCUUCAGUCACCCUGUCCUGUUCUGUAUCUGGACUUCCUCUUAGCUGGCUGCACUGGAUCCGUCAGAAACCCGGGAAGGGUCUAGAGUGGAUUGGUCGUAUUGACAGCGGCACAGGCACUAUAUUCGCCCAGUCUCUACAGGGCCAGUUCUCCAUCACUAAAGACACCAGUAAAAACAUGGUGUACCUGCAGGUGAAGAGCCUGAAAGCUGAAGACACGGCUGUUUAUUACUGUGCACGAGAAUCACACUGA